UAACAGGCGUUGAGGAAACCACACAUUUGAGGCAGCGUGUUCCGGUGCACGGCGGCUGCUCUCCCGGAUCCGGGAUCCGGGAUCCCGCUGGCUGCCGCUCACCAGCUGUGCGAGCCCGAGGACGCUGGCUGAGUUCCCGGAGUGGACUUCACGACUCUGCGAAGCGUAGGUGCUCUGACCCCUACUUGAAGAUAAAACUGAGGCUCAGGUGACCUAGAGAUGAGGUCAGUGGCGGAGCUGGAAUUCAAACCCCAGGAAGUCUGACUGUGACGCCCACGUGCCUCACCACCACCCGAUGCCGCCACGUCCGCAGGAAGCACGUGGCCUGGAGAGAAGACGAGGAGACGACAGCUGAAGUGCCAAGGGAGUCGGGUGGCCGGAAUCCCUCCGCAUCCGCGAGUCUCAUCUCCCGUCCUGUAUGCAUCGGGGGGUCGGUGCUCUGGGUCGGGGCCGGACUUUCUGCACUCUCCGGACGUCCACCCGGGGUGCCAGGAGCGGAGUUCUGCACACACCUGCACCCUCCCCUUUCUCAAGGCCAUGGCAAUCAUAAAGGUUUGACCACGUCGCAAACUGUUUCUUAAGCGACAGCUUCCCAGAAAGGGGAUGACAGCAUCAGGGAGCAGAAACCUCUUAAGGCUCUCGCUCUGUAUGGCCAAAUUGCUUUCCAGUUUACCUUCCUGCCAAAGGACUACCAAUCCUGAGUAGGCGCGGCGUCCAGAACACCCUACCCGUGAGCCAGCUAAUCAUGUCCUUCCCAGAGGAGGCCACGCCGAGGCCCAGAGCCAGGAUCAGAGAGACACGCCCAGCUCUUUGAAGCUCCUCAUUCCUAGCAGGGAACGUUCCCAUCAGCAUCACCUGAGAACUUGCUAGAAAUGCAAACGCCCGGGCCUCGCCCCAGUGGUACUGAGUCAGAAACUCCAGGGGUGGGGCCCAGCAGUCUGGAAAGGAGCCCUCCAGGUGCUUCUGGUGCUGGCCCAGGUCUGGGAGCCACGGGGCCUGAGGAAGCUGCCUUGGCUGCAAGGGAAAUGCACACACUUGCUAAUAAACCUGUGCCUGCUCAGGGCAGAUCCCAGGGCAAGGUCACUUCCAUCUCUAGUUCAUGACGCUGUGCUAGAAGCAAGUGAUCUGGGGUUGCUGGUUGCUGGUUGCCGGUUGCCACUCUCCAAUCCACGUCGAGAACCCACUUGGAAUGGUAGAGAAGGACGACCCAGUUUGAGAGAGCACCUGGACGGCAGAACUGGGAUCCUGGAUCCGUUUGUACCCGGUUGCUAGCUCCACCCCAUCCUUUCCAGGUUUCUGUGAGUAAGAAGGAAAAGAAAGAUGGAAUUGGGAGGCAACCAACAGUCCCUGUCAUGUGUACCUACCUCACAGGAUUGUUGUGAGGAUGAACUGAGGCAAUUGAAGAUGAUUCCUCUUGUCUGUCUAGAGAGACCUGAAGUCCAUGCAGUGCCCCCAAGAGCCUGUCCCUCAUGGAUGUUACCGGGAGAAAAACCUAGAGAGUGUUCCUCUGGGUCCCAUGGUAAUGUGUGCAUCUAACUGAGGCAAGAAUUAUCUUCCCCUUCAUGUGAUCACCCUUCUCCCAGAACAGAGGGAUUUUGUCAGCCUGGAACAAUGUGUACUCCUGAGUCAUUUCAUGUAUCAUGAAAUCCCAAUUUUUCAGAAUGGGUUGAGACCAAGGUUUUUAGUGAAACUGUCCUGGGGGGAAAAAAAUUGGCACUAAGUCCCAAGACUUUUUUCCCCUUGAUCUCCGUCCAUCAUGAUGGAAGAUAAAAUGUAUCAGUAUUCUUGCUCCUGAUUUUUUAUUAGUGAACUAGGAUAUACAAGAACUUAAUAAAAUAUUCACAAAAG